rnacentral:rRNA from 1 species
GUGCCAGCAGCCGCGGUAAUACGUAGGGGGCGAGCGUUGUCCGGAUUCAUUGGGCGUAAAGAGCUCGUAGGCGGUUUGGCAAGUCGGGUGUGAAACCUCCAGGCUCAACCUGGAGACGCCACCCGAGACUGCUAUGACUAGAGUCUGGUAGGGGACCACGGAAUACCUGGUGUAGCGGUGGAAUGCGCAGAUAUCAGGUGGAACACCGGUGGCGAAGGCGGUGGUCUGGGCCAGUACUGACGCUGAGGAGCGAAAGCGUGGGGAGCGAACAGGAUUAGAAACCCUGGUAGUCC